AGUGGAAUAGCUGGGUCACAUGGUGGUUCCAUUUCUUGUCUUUUGAGGAAUCUCCAUACUGCUUUCCAGGGUGGUUGUAUUAAUUUGCAGUCCUACCAACUGU
rnacentral:pre_miRNA from 1 species